rnacentral:rRNA from 1 species
AGGUCUUGACAUCUUGCGCCAACCCUAGAGAUAGGGCGUUUCCUUCGGGAACGCAAUGACAGGUGGUGCAUGGUCGUCGUCAGCUCGUGUCGUGAGAUGUUGGGUUAAGUCCCGCAACGAGCGCAACCCUUGUUACUAGUUGCCAGCAUUAAGUUGGGCACUCUAGUGAGACUGCCGGUGACAAACCGGAGGAAGGUGGGGACGACGUCAGAUCAUCAUGCCCCUUAUGACCUGGGCUACACACGUGCUACAAUGGACGGUACAACGAGUCGCGAACUCGCGAGGGCAAGCAAAUCUCUUAAAACCGUUCUCAGUUCGGACUGCAGGCUGCAACUCGCCUGCACGAAGUCGGAAUCGCUAGUAAUCGCGGAUCAGCAUGCCGCGGUGAAUACGUUCCCGGGCCUU